AGGGAAUAUAGAAUACUUUAUAUUCUAAUAUGUAAUUCUAUAUGUAAUAGAAUAUAAUAUAGAGUUUCAGGGUCUAACUAGCUUGGAAGAGGAUGUGUAUUACAGUAUAAUCAGAUAAGGGGGUAGGGGUUUUAUUGCAGGAAAACCCCCCCAUCAGGUGGUAUUUGGAGACACAUCUCAAGGAAGAAAGGAACUGCGGGGAGCCACUAUAAACAUUGAAUGCAGGCGACACCUGGAGCAGAAGUCUGGAGCCAGAUCAAAUGGUCAUCAUUCUGCAGGACAACGAUGACGUCAGAUUACGGACCAAUCAGACGACAGCGAUUACAUACUGGCCUGUUUGAAACAUUGUAUAAGUCUGGGGUAGAAUCAGAUAGUUUCAGUUCGACUACUUUAUCUGCUAAGGAUAAGAUGGGGUAGUUACGAACCCAGAGCUCUGCAAAUGUAUAGACUCCUCUGUCAGGAAUAAAUUGGUUGGUUUUGAUACAUUGUUGUGAACGACGUUCUUUCACGAAAACGAACACGCUUGGAACCACGGAAGUUAAGGUGAUUUUAAAACGCAGGUUCCUUUAAAUGGUGAGCCCGACGUGAUCCUGAAAGGACAUUAGUUAAAGAGACAGAGGAGCGGGCAGGAAUUCAGUUGGACUGCAAAUCUCCCCGGUGCACCGAAAUAAAAAAGUAACAGUUGAUGUGGUGCGCGACCUUCAGGAGGCGGCGCCGAAGGAAGACAAGUGUAAGUGGCAAGAGACAGGUGCUGAGUAUGAUGACAAGGAGAACCUAGGAGACUGAUGUUACCUACAGGAAAGUUAUGUGUCAAUGCUGAAGAAGCUGCGCUUUUGGUGGCACCCUUAUCUUCUGCGUAAGGUAAAAUAUUUUUGUGUUUUUUGUGAUAUAUGUCAAGAUAUCAGUGUUUGCCCUACAACGAAGAGGGAAUUGCAACACACUGAGAUGGGCCGAGGCCUGAAUUUAUGUGGUGGUAAUGGACUGAACCGGCAAUGGUAGUCCCAGUCCAAAGCGUAAGGUACUUAUUAAUAAUUGUCGGCACUUUUUCUGGAUGGCCCAAAGGCUAUCCUUGUGCAAAAGAAAACGUGCCGUCUGUCGACAAAGCGCUGGUUAACCAUUAUAUUCCAACGUAUGAGCUUCCACGAGUAAUCAGAUCGGACAAGUGAUUCUACUUGUCCCAAACAUGUCCUGCGCAGGCCUCUAUUGUGAAAAAAACGUGGACUAAGUGUGAAUGAUAUAAAUAUUCGGUGCGAUACGUUUUAUAAAUUGUGUACACAAUAUAAAGCAAACCUUAGAACUUUGAUGAAUCAAAUUAUAUGACUAUAUAUGUAAAAAGGUAUAAAGCGCUUCAAAGGGUACCCAUUAUAUUUAUUAACUAAAUAAAUAAGGCAUACAUAUUGUAUGUAUAAAUAGGUAUGCAUAUGAUAUUCUGGAAGAUAAAUUAAAUAAUAGAUAAAUUAAGACGUGUGCCGGACGGAUGUGAUCAAGCAAGAGUGGUAUCGUGACUUUCUAUUUCCGGGUCAGCAGAGCGGACCAGAGCGGGUCUGCGUGCCUGGGAUAAAAGCCUGACAACAGUACGGGAGGUUUGUGGUCUAAGAAAACGCUUCGGAGUUUGAAUAAAUGACGUGCAAGUUGCUAUCUGAGCUGGUGAAUGGGAUUUGAUAUAUAUUGCUUAGAGAGGGGGUGGCACGGUGACCAACUGGUUAGAGCGUCAGCCUCACAGUUCUGAGGAGCGGGGUUCAAUCCCCGGCCCCGCCUGUGUGGAGUUUGCAUGUUCUCCCCGUGCCUGCGUGGGUUUUCUCCGGGCACUCCGGUUUCCUCCCACAUCCCAAAAACAUGCAUGAAUUGGAGACUCUAAAUUGCCCGUAGGCAUGACUGUGAGUGCGAAUGGUUGUUUGUUCCUAUGUGCCCUGCGAUUGGCUGGCAACCAGUUCAGGGUGUACCCCGCCUCCUGCCCGAUGACAGCUGGGAUAGGCUCCAGCACGCCCGCGACCCUAGUGAGGAGAAGCGGCUCAGAAAAUGGAUGAGUGCUUAAAAGAGCACUUGAAGUGAAGGUGCACCAAAUGGUUUAUGAAAGGACACAGGGGUCCUCAGCUGGGGGGGGGGCAGCUUUACGACGGGCGUGUGUGAGUUUUCCGAGUUUAUGGUAUUGCAAGGGCCAGGGAGAUUUACAAUAGGAUCGUUUAAUUAAUGCAAUGUAUAGAAGCCUGGUCUGUAGUGGUUUAGGUGUUAUGGUUCAACCAAUAAGUGUGCUGUGUUCAGUUUUGUCUGUGUGGUGUAUGUGAGAGGACAUUCACUCCUGGGUCCAGGUUAAUGUUAUUGUCUGUGAAGUCUCGAUUGUCAUGUCAUGUUAAUUGUUUAUGUUUUGUGUUUAAUGUUUGUGUCGUCUUAAUUAAAAGCAGAAAUGGAGCACUACUGAGCUGGCUGACAGGAGUAGUGAACGAUGUGAUCACGUGAAAGAGACUAUAGACCUUUAGUUACCAAUGAAUAACGGUCUACAGACUGUUGAAAGACUGAUUUGUUGAAAUAACAUUAUUUUACAGGACGCCCAGGAGGAUGGAGCUUGAUAGUGUAUUGCAUGAUGUUGGUGUGCUGACUUAACGCUGAUUUUAUGUGAUUCUUGGUUUAUUGACAUUAACACUUUUGUGAGACAAAUUAACAAUUGGUUGGGGAAUAAUAUCAAUGUUGGGUGACAAUUGCCAACUUGUCCCUUCUCUGGAGUAUGUAUACAGGAAUUAUGUAGUCCAUCGCUUUGGCACGGGUAUCUUUUGCAGAGUUGUGAUUAAUUUAUAUAAGGGUUUGUUUGCAGGUCUGGUCAGGGGCCUCUCCGACGAAGGAGACGACCUGCUUGUUUGUGUAUGGUGUUGUGUGUGGGUACUGUGUUUUGGUGUUAAAUUAGUCAUUUAACAAAGGGGGAAAUAUGUACAUCCUGUAUGUCUGGUCAAAGAAGGUUAUAAUCAUGACUCUGGUGAUCUCCCUGAUUACAGUUACAGGAAUCUAUUUUGGAAUGCAAUACAAGGAGAAAGAGUAACAAAGAGGGCCGUGAAGCCAGCAGGGGCCCUAGAAUUGAACUACACAUUGGGGGAAAAGACGUUGGAGGCAAGUGAUUAUCCACUCGAAACCGGGAUACUGGGAGCCGACGAAGAUUAGGAAUUGGCGGUGGAAGGACAAGAUCAAAUUGGAAAGAGUUAGUAUGCACUCAGUAACCCCGAGGGACUGACAUCCCGUAUUAUUGACCUUGUAUGAUAUAACUAGCACCCCGUGAAGAGAGUGGGGCAAACCAGUAGCGACCUUUACAGUCUUGACCUUGGGUAUAGAUGUCUCAGGGACUGAUCCACUAGGACAGAUUAUUAUUAAUUGGAUACGACCGACAAAAAGUUCAUCUAGUCCGAUAAUGAGAAAAUUUGCUAAGAUACCAGCUUCAAAAAAUGAGGAUCCAGUGGUUUUUCGAACCUCUAAAGUGACGGGAUAUGACCUGAAUAAUGACUCGGUCAAAGGAUCGGUAAAUAGUCAUUUAGUACAAAAGGCAAAGGGACGAGUGGCAGGAAUUAAUCUAGGUAAUUAUUGUCUUAAAGAGAUUACUACGGAAGGUAGGGACGCAGGCAAAAUCUAUCAAAAACACUGUCUUGUUUGUGCUACGAUGAAUAACCUCAAUUGGAUUGUAAACCCUGUGGUCCAGGAAAAUUAUACUCCUGCUACUAAGUUCAAAUUGACCUGUGCCUACCAGCUGAUGACUAAUGACAACCUGGAGGGUGAGUGCCAGCACUGGGAUCAGGUUUAUCCUCUGACUAAGGUGAAAGGUGCACCCCUCUAUAAUGUCAAUAUAGGGGAGGGGUCCCUUCCCUUCCCUACCCUGCAUCACACAAAAUAAGAGUAAGGUAACUUUGGGCCCAAAUAAAAAACUUUCCUGAUCAAUUGGCCACCUGGAUCCACAGUUUUGUAAAUUCACACUUUUUAUUGAUUGUUAGGAUGCGGCCCGAUUAAGUAAGAUGAGGUCUGAUUUGUGGUGGAUGUGUGGUGUUGUUCUGUUGUGGGACUUACUGCCUGGGGAAUGGACAGGCACUUGUGCAUUGGUUUCUAUGAUAACCCCCACUGUGAUCAAGCCUCUCUCUCAGCAGGAGAUCAACCAUAUGGCGGAUUUCACCUGGGAGAGUGACUGGUGUGGGGGGUGUUAAUUCAUUUUCUCAGGAGACUUGUUCUCAGGUUUGCUCUCAAGGCCUUUGAAGAGAAGAACCCCCACUGCCAAGAUCUGCAGCUGCCGUUGAAAGAGGACGGGGAGACGAUGAGCGCGCUCGCUGCCUUGAUCGACGCCUUUGUAUUCACACAUUUUUUCAAUUUGCUGUGUUUACAUUAGGUUUUGUUGAGUUUUGUCGUGAAAUAGGCUGCAGGUAUAGGGGUUGUUGAUCUUCUGAUUAUCAGAAGAUCAACUUGGGGGAUUGAAGGGAAUAUAGAAUACUUUAUAUUCUAAUAUGUAAUUCUAUAUGUAAUAGAAUAUAAUAUAGAGUUUCAGGGUCUAACUAGCUUGGAAGAGGAUGUGUAUUACAGUAUAAUCAGAUAAGGGGGUAGGGGUUUUAUUGCAGGAAAACCCCCCCAUCAGGUGGUAUUUGGAGACACAUCUCAAGGAAGAAAGGAACUGCGGGGAGCCACUAUAAACAUUGAAUGCAGGCGACACCUGGAGCAGAAGUCUGGAGCCAGAUCAAAUGGUCAUCAUUCUGCAGGACAACGAUGACGUCAGAUUACGGACCAAUCAGACGACAGCGAUUACAUACUGGCCUGUUUGAAACAUUGUAUAAGUCUGGGGUAGAAUCAGAUAGUUUCAGUUCGACUACUUUAUCUGCUAAGGAUAAGAUGGGGUAGUUACGAACCCAGAGCUCUGCAAAUGUAUAGACUCCUCUGUCAGGAAUAAAUUGGUUGGUUUUGAUA